rnacentral:rRNA from 1 species
UACGAAGGGGGCUAGCGUUGCUCGGAAUCACUGGGCGUAAAGCGCACGUAGGCGGAUUGCUAAGUCAGGGGUGAAAUCCUGGAGCUCAACUCCAGAACUGCCUUUGAUACUGGCGACCUUGAGUCCGGGAGAGGUGAGUGGAACUGCGAGUGUAGAGGUGAAAUUCGUAGAUAUUCGCAAGAACACCGGUGGCGAAGGCGGGUCUCUGGGCAACUCCUGACGCUGAGGCGCGAAAGCGUGGGGAGCAAACGGG